rnacentral:misc_RNA from 1 species
GAUGCAUGUUUACAAUUUGUCCUGUAUAAUUCACAAGGUCAAUUUUGCACUUCCAAAAAUUUUUAAUAGCAUUUUCAUCAUUAUUUGUAGGUUUGCCCAUGGUUCACCACAGUACAGCCAUCUAAGAAGGCAUAACGGGUUUCCACAUAUGAAGUAUUAGGAGGAAAAAAAAAAUUAACGAAAAACACGAACAAAAAGUAACCAGCAAGAAAAUACAGCUUGUUUUACUUUUUUCUGUAAUUUUCUCACAUGAAAUGGCACAAUUACAACCAUGGUGAAAUUUUUGAAUCUUAAAAUUUGAGCCAUUACAGGAAUGCAAUACAAAGGUGAUGUGGAUAUCUGAGGGUUGAAGUUGAACACCACUGAUUACUCUUCAGUAAAGUAAAUUACUGUUUACAUUAUAUAUGGAUGAGUGGGAAGUAAAAAUAUAGCGUAAUAGAUAAUAGUAGUAAAAGGAG